UACGUAGGGUGCAAGCGUUAAUCGGAAUUACUGGGCGUAAAGCGUGCGCAGGCGGUGAUGUAAGACAGAUGUGAAAUCCCCGGGCUCAACCUGGGAACUGCAUUUGGGACUGCAAGGCUCGAGUUUGGCAGAGGAGACUGGAAUUCCUGGUGUAGCAGUGAAAUGCGUAGAUAUCAGGAGGAAUACCGAUGGCGAAGGCAGGUCUCUGGGCUGAAACUGACGCUCAUGCACGAAAGCGUGGGGAGCAAACAGG
rnacentral:rRNA from 1 species